AACGCGAAGAACCUUACCAAGGCUUGACAUAUAGCGAAAAGUGGCAGAGAUGUCAUGUCCGCAAGGGCGCUAUACAGGUGGUGCAUGGUUGUCGUCAGCUCGUGUCGUGAGAUGUUGGGUUAAGUCCCGCAACGAGCGCAACCCUCGUUCUGUGUUACCAGCAUUCAGUUGGGGACUCACAGGAGACUGCCGGGGUCAACUCGGAGGAAGGUGGGGAUGACGUCAAAUCAUCAUGCCCCUUAUGUCUUGGGCUACACGCAUGCUACAAUGGCCGGUACAAAGUGCUGCGAGAUCGUAAGAUUGAGCGAAUCACAUAAAGCCGGUCUCAGUUCGGAUUGAGGUCUGCAACUCGACCUCAUGAAGUCGGAGUUGCUAGUAAUCGUAGAUCAGCAACGCUACGGUGAAUACGUUCCCGGGUCUUGUACACACCG
rnacentral:rRNA from 1 species